rnacentral:rRNA from 1 species
UACAGAGGGGGCAAGCGUUAUUCGGAAUUAUUGGGCGUAAAGGGCGCGUAGGCGGCACUGUUAGUCAGGCGUGAAAGUCCUGGGCUCAACCUGGGAACUGCGCUUGAUACGGCAGAGCUAGAGGAUGGAAGAGGGUCGCGGAAUUCCCAGUGUAGAGGUGAAAUUCGUAGAUAUUGGGAAGAACACCGGUGGCGAAGGCGGCGACCUGGUCCAUUACUGACGCUGAGGCGCGACAGCGUGGGGAGCAAACAGG